CUCUGUGACUCCUACGGGAGGCAGCAGUGGGGAAUAUUGCACAAUGGGGGAAACCCUGAUGCAGCCAUGCCGCGUGUGUGAAGAAGGCCUUCGGGUUGUAAAGCACUUUCAGUAGGGAGGAAGGUAGUGUAGUUAACACCUGCACUAUUUGACGUUACCUACAGAAGAAGCACCGGCUAACUCCGUGCCAGCAGCCGCGGUAAUACGGAGGGUGCGAGCGUUAAUCGGAAUUACUGGGCGUAAAGCGCAUGCAGGCGGCCUGUUAAGUCAGAUGUGAAAGCCCCGGGGCUUAACCUCGGAAUUGCAUUUGAAACUGGCAGGCUAGAGUCUUGUAGAGGGGGUAGAAUUUCAGGUGUAGCGGUGAAAUGCGUAGAGAUCUGAAGGAAUACCAGUGGCGAAGGCGGCCCCCUGGGCAAAGACUGACGCUCAGAUGCGAAAGCGUGGGGAGCAAACAGGAUUAGAUACCCUGGUAG
rnacentral:rRNA from 1 species